CAGAACCGUGAGAGUAAAUUUCUGCUGUUUAAGCCCCCAAGUCCGUGGUCCUUUGUUCCUCAGCCCCAGCAGAUGAAUACAUCACCCAGAAGGGCCAGCCAGAGGGGAACCUACGGAGGGGACAGAGCAUCCUGUGGUCCCAGCCAGGCUGCCCCCUGCUGGGGGCUCUUCCUUGCUGCUCAGCGGUCCCUAAUUAGGAUGUGACCCACACCUCUCGGUAGCACUGAGCAGAGAGUGACCCUGAAAUAAAUGUACAAUUGACUCUUGAACAACAUGGGUUCGAACUGCCUGGGUCCGUAUAUACACGGGUUUUUGCAAUAAAUACAGGACGGUGCUGUAAAUGUAUUUUCUCUUCCUUAUGACUUUCUUACUAACACUCUUCUGUUUUUACUUUAAAGAGAGAAAGAGAGCACGCGUGCGCUUGCGCGAGUGGGGGAGGGGCAGAGAGACAGAGACCCCCCCCCCCCCCCCCCCGCCCCAAGCCGGCUCCGCACCAUCAGCACAGCCCCACGCGGGGCUCCAACCCACGACCAGGAGAUCACGACCUGAGCCGAAAUCGGGAGUCGGGCGCUCGACCCACUGAGCCACCCGGGCGCCCCUUCUGUUGUUUUAUUGCAAGAAUACAGUUUAUAAUAUACAGAAGAUGUAUUCGUCGACUGCUCGUGUUCUCGGAAAGGCUUCUGGUCUAUGGUAGUACAUCACUCUCAAGCUGGCGGGGUGGGGGGUGGGGGAGAUCCGAAGUUACACGUGGGUUUCGACUCCCCAGCCCCACACCGUUGAAGGGCCAACGGCUCGCGACUUUAUAAGGGGUUAAGCGGCCUUUAUUGCAACGCUUAGGCGCGUCCUCUCCUGGGGGUAACGGGGAAGAGGUUAAGGAGUCUUCCUUCCCACCUUCCGCCUCCACGGCCUUGACUCCCCCACCGCAGGAAACAAAACGCCUGUCCAUUUGGUUACUGGGACCCAAAACUGAGGAACCACCUGCCAUCUUUUUUUUUUUUAAUUUUUAUUUAUUUUUCAGAGAGAGAGAGAGAGAUUGCGAGCACCAGCAGGGAAGGGGCAGAGAGGGAGGGAGACACAGAAUCCCAAGCAGGCUCCAGACUCCGAGCUGUCAGCACACAGCCCGACACGGGGCUCGAUCCCACGGACCACGAGAUCAUGACCUGAGCCGAAGUCCAACACUUAAUCGCCUGAGCCGCCAGGCGCCCCUGUGUGUCUCUUGCAGAGCAGAAGUUGUUAAUAUUGAUGAAGUCCAGCUUAUCAUGAUCCCUUUAUGAAUCAUGCUUGAAACUUAGUUCUACCUUUGAACGUUUGGAUCACCUGAACCAACAAAUUCCCCUUUUGUUUCAGCAGAGGACGCCAUGUGCCUUUCCAGAAGCUGACCCAAGUGGAUCUGCGCCCAAGGCAGCCUCCUCCCGGCACAGGCUGUGAACGGUGGGUCACGGCCAUCAGCUCCACAGGGUCUCCGGGAACAGUUUGCUCACCCAGCGUCUCCGUCCCAUCAGCGUCCCUUCUGCUGCUUUAACUGCUGCUCUCUCUCCGAGUAGAGUGUUUUCUGGAGCGUGUCCCCCGCACGCCUCAUCCACAUGGGCCCAGUUACCGUCCAGCUCUCCAGCGGGUCUGGGCUUGGAUUCUCUGGGCGCAUUUGGCGGUUCUGUGCCAUUCUCCCUUUUCUCCCCCAAAUACACGGGGGCGCCCUCUCAUCGCGGCCCUUUCUCGGUACUCUGCUCCCACUUCCCAGAGAGAGUCCUGGCAAAAACCUUCCUGAAAAUCCCAUCCAAACCCUAAAGUAAAUAUUUCUCCAGCGUUCUCCUUUUAGUCUCCAGGAUGAUGACCCCUUCGCUUGUUUUCCAGAACUUUUUUCACAAUCCCUUUGGUUUUUUAAAAAAUUUGUUUGUUUUCGGUAUUCUCCACACCCAACACGGGGCUUGAACUCACAGCCCCGAGAUCAAGUCACGUCCGUGCUCUUCCAGCUGAGCCAGCCAGGCGCCCCAUCCCUAUGAUAUUUUUGCCACUAUUUUAGACACACAGAAUUGUAUAAACAUAACAUCAGGAAUACCUGUAGACCACCCCUCACCCGCUUCUUUUUCUCUUUACUCACCUAAAAAGCAGACCCACCUGUCAGACUCAGUGCUGAUGAACCUGUAGACAGAUACGUAGAUUGCUCUGGAUCCCACUCUGCCUGUGGGGGCAGGGCUGAGUCCCUCUCAGGGCGGGCAGUGGGAAGGCCCUCGACUGGGGGACACGAUAUUGCUCUGACAGUGAACGUCACUUCUGGCCAUAAGCUAUAAAGCCCAGCACAGAAACCAGCUGUACCGAACCCGUCAAAGGAGGCUGCAGGGAUGCAGGGAUGGGUGGUUUGGUUGGUUAAGCGUCCAACUUCUGCUCAGGUCACGAUCUCCUGGUUCGUCAGUUCAAGCCCCACAUCCGGCUCUCUGCUGUCAGCUCAGAGCCUGCUUUGGAUCCUCUGUCCUCCUCUCUCUGCCCCUACACUGCUCAUGCCCUUUCUCUCUCUCUC